rnacentral:rRNA from 1 species
CCCGGUGAUUCAGUUUCGCGUGCACCACCUCUUCCCAUUCCGAACAGAGAAGUGAAAGCGCGAUAUGCUGAUGAUACUUGGUUUCGGCCUGGGACAGUAGGCUUUGCCGGGA